GACGAACGCUGGCGGCGUGCUUAACACAUGCAAGUCGAACGGUAAGGCCCUUCGGGGUACACGAGUGGCGAAAGGGUGAGUCACACGUGGGUGAUCUGCCCUGCACUUCGGGAUAAGCCUGGGAAACUGGGUCUAAUACCGGAUAGGACCACUGCCCGCAUGGGUGGGGGGGGAAAGCUUUUGCGGUGUGGGAUGGGCCCGCGGCCUAUCAGCUUGUUGGUGGGGGGAUGGCCUACCAAGGCGACGACGGGUAGCCGGCCUGAGAGGGUGACCGACCACACUGGGACUGAGAUACGGCCCAGACUCCUACGGGAGGCAGCAGUGGGGAAUAUUGCACAAUGGGCGCAAGCCUGAUGCAGCGACGCCGCGUGAGGGAUGACGGCCUUCGGGUUGUAAACCUCUUUCAGCACCGACGAAGCGCAAGUGACGGUAGGUGCAGAAGAAGGACCGGCCAACUACGUGCCAGCCGCCGCAGUAA
rnacentral:rRNA from 1 species